UGGUUCUGGCAUCGAUGAAGAACGCAGCGAAAUGCGAUAAGUAAUGCGAAUUGCAGAAUUCAGUGAGUCAUCGAAUCUUUGAACGCACAUUGCGCCCUUUGGUAUUCCGAAGGGCAUGCCUGUCCGAGCGUCAUUAUCAACCUUCAAGCUCAGCUUGCUGUUGGACCGUUCGUCGUUCACCCGACGGGUCUCAAAGACAGUGACGGAGUCGUGUUGGAACCCCGAUGCAACGAGCUCUCGUAGCACGCGUUGGUGGGAUCGAUCGCUCCUGCUCUCAACCAUGUUUUACUUACCAGGUUGACCUCGGAUCAGGUAGGAAUACCCGCUGA
rnacentral:misc_RNA from 1 species